GUUAGGAAUAUUGGACAAUGGGCGCAAGCCUGAUCCAGCCAUGCCGCGUGAACGAUGAAGGCCUUCGGGUUGUAAAGUUCUUUAGCCGAUGAUUAUAAUGACUGUAGUCGGAAAAUAAGCCCCGGCUAACUUCGUGCCAGCAGCCGCGGUAAUACGAAGGGGGCGAGUGUUAUUCGGAAUCACUGGGCGUAAAGCGUGCGUAGGCGGUCUCGUAAGUUAGGAGUGAAAGCCCAGGGCUCAACCUUGGAAUUGCUCUUAAUACUGCAAGGCUAGAAUCUCGGAGAGGAUAGCGGAAUUUCCAGUGUAGCAGUGAAAUGCGUAGAUAUUGGAAGGAACACCAGUGGCGUAAGCGGCUAUCUGGACGAGUAUUGACGCUGAGGCACGAAAGCGUGGGGAUCAAACAGGAUUAGAUACCCGAGUAGUCC
rnacentral:rRNA from 1 species